AACGAAGAAAAUUGUAAAAUCGACAGAGGAGAGUAAUCUGGCUUACUUCAAUAGUGAACUCUUUUGUUGAAGGAUCUUUAAUUGAUUCGAUGUUGAGCUUUUCUUUGUCGGCAUAUAUUAUAAUAUCCUAAAUUUAUUUUCCCGACACAGAAUUUAAAUGUUUGUGAUUCUAUUUUGAUUUUAAUUGUAUCAUUUGUUUCUGUGUGUAUGUUUGCUUUUGGGGGUGGGAGCGUCGCGUCAUUCGAGUUUAUUCGACAAUUAUCAAAAACUAGUUUUCAUACGUCUGUACGCCAGUGUAGCACGCAAAUAUUUGUUUAUUUUACUAUCAUAUGACAUAGCAAUACGUUGACCUGUGCGAUUAUUUAUCAAAUGAAAUUUCAAAUUUCACAAAGUUUGAACGAAGGAUUGACGGACGUUUUUCCACUUCCGAGAGCUUUGAAGAAGCAACAAUAAAGUUGCGAAACGUCGCUUAAAGGAA